rnacentral:rRNA from 1 species
UCCUACGGGAGGCAGCAGUGGGGAACUUGGACAAUGGGGGCAAGCCUGAUCCAGCCAUGCCGCGGGGGAAGAAGGCCUUCGGGUUGUAAAGCCCUUUUCUGGGAGAAGGCAAGUGUUAAUACCGGGGGGAAGACGGUCCCGAAGAAGAAGCACCGGCA